rnacentral:rRNA from 1 species
AGAGACCUUCGGGUCUCUAGUGGCGGACGGGUGAGUAACACGUAGGUAACCUGCCCCGGAGCGGGGGAUAACAUUUGGAAACAGAUGCUAAUACCGCAUAACAACAAAAGCCACAUGGCUUUUGUUUGAAAGAUGGCUUUGGCUAUCACUCUGGGAUGGACCUGCGGUGCAUUAGCUAGUUGGUAAGGUAACGGCUUACCAAGGCGAUGAUGCAUAGCCGAGUUGAGAGACUGAUCGGCCACAACGGAACUGAGACACGGUCCAUACUCCUACGGGAGGCAGCAGUAGGGAAUCUUCCACAAUGGGCGCAAGCCUGAUGGAGCAACACCGCGUGAGUGAAGAAGGGUUUCGGCUCGUAAAGCUCUGUUGUUGGAGAAGAACGUGCGUGAGAGUAACUGUUCACGCAGUGACGGUAUCCAACCAGAAAGUCACGGCUAACUACGUGCCAGCAGCCGCGGUAAUACGUAGGUGGCAAGCGUUAUCCGGAUUUAUUGGGCGUAAAGCGAGCGCAGGCGGUUGCUUAGGUCUGAUGUGAAAGCCUUCGGCUUAACCGAAGAAGUGCAUCGGACACCGGGCGACUUGAGUGCAGAAGAGGACAGUGGAACUCCAUGUGUAGCGGUGGAAUGCGUAGAUAUAUGGAAGAACACCAGUGGCGAAGGCGGCUGUCUGGUCUGCAACUGACGCUGAGGCUCGAAAGCAUGGGGAGCAAACAGGAUUAGAUACCCUGGUAGUCCAUGCCGUAAACGAUGAGUGCUAAGUGUUGGGAGGUUUCCGCCUCUCAGUGCUGCAGCUAACGCAUUAAGCACUCCGCCUGGGGAGUACGACCGCAAGGUUGAAACUCAAAGGAAUUGACGGGGGCCCGCACAAGCGGUGGAGCAUGUGGUUUAAUUCGAAGCAACGCGAAGAACCUUACCAGGUCUUGACAUCCAGUGCAAACCUAAGAGAUUAGGUGUUCCCUUCGGGGACGCUGAGACAGGUGGUGCAUGGCUGUCGUCAGCUCGUGUCGUGAGAUGUUGGGUUAAGUCCCGCAACGAGCGCAACCCUUGUCAUUAGUUGCCAUCAUUAAGUUGGGCACUCUAAUGAGACUGCCGGUGACAAACCGGAGGAAGGUGGGGAUGACGUCAAGUCAUCAUGCCCCUUAUGACCUGGGCUACACACGUGCUACAAUGGACGGUACAACGAGAAGCGAACCUGCGAAGGCAAGCGGAUCUCUUAAAGCCGUUCUCAGUUCGGACUGUAGGCUGCAACUCGCCUACACGAAGCUGGAAUCGCUAGUAAUCGCGGAUCAGCACGCCGCGGUGAAUACGUUCCCGGGCCUUGCACUCACCGCCCGUCA